rnacentral:rRNA from 1 species
UACGAAGGGGGCUAGCGUUGCUCGGAAUCACUGGGCGUAAAGCGCACGUAGGCGGCUUCUUAAGUCAGGGGUGAAAUCCUGGAGCUCAACUCCAGAACUGCCUUUGAUACUGAGGAGCUUGAGUCCGGGAGAGGUGAGUGGAACUGCGAGUGUAGAGGUGAAAUUCGUAGAUAUUCGCAAGAACACCAGUGGCGAAGGCGGCUCACUGGACGACUGUUGACGCUGAGGUACGAAAGCGUGGGGAGCAAACAGG